CGGCCGCUGCCCCCGGCCCAGCCGCGGGGCAGCCGCGCUCCCGCCGGGUGUCCCGGGCGGAGAUGGGCUGGGUUAGACGGGGCAGGGCAAACGCCGACCCCGCCGUCCCGAGGGCUUCCCCCGUCCCGCCGGGGCAGGCGCCUCACCUGGUGCUCCUCCAGCUCCUCCACCAGUACCUGGGGACAGAGGGACACACAGACACACACACAAAGGACGUGAGUCCGGCGACCGCAGCGCAGCGGCUCCGCCGCCCCGUCCCGUCCAGUCCCGUCCCGUCCCGUCGCCGCCCGCCCGGCCCGGCCGGAGCGCCGGCUCCGCGCUCACCUGGGCUGAUUUCUUGCAGGGUCCGGACUGCAGGAACCGUGCGAUCAGAAAUGCAAAAUCCAGCUGUGGAUGGAACAUCCAGGAAAAGGGGUGGCUCUGUGUCCCUGUGUGCUCUGGGCUCUGCCAGCAGAAGGACCAGGGGAAUGACAUCAGUACCAGAUCCAUCCCCAGCAUCUCUGAAUUCCAACUUUGUACCUCAAAGUGCCUGAAACCCCCAAGUUUUAUAGCAGCAAAUUUACUACUGGGUAUAAGUGACCAGGUUUUUAGGGCCAAAUCCUGCGUUUUUGGCUUCUCCCAGAAGCCUGGGCACAAAGCAUCUGACUGCAGCUGGGAAUUCAUCACCUCUCUCCCUGGACAUGCAAAUUUUACUGGAACUCCUUCAGCUAAGAAACCAGAAAAAGUGGAUUAAAAAGAAUGAGGUUAUGAAGCAUGAAAAAAUAUUCCAAAACAACUAUGGAGGAGGGAAGAGGAGUUUCUGCUCUGACCCUGGAGAUGAAAGAAUAAAGGACCCUUGGCUGGAUGGUGACACUCAACCCAUGAAGAGACACCACUGUCAGUGACAGAACACAAGGGCAAAGAGAGCCCUGAGCAAACACUGCUUCACUAUCAGCAAGGACUCUGCUGGGACAAUCCCUCAGCAGCUGAUGGAGCCUGCAGCUGGACCCAGCAAAAGGCAGCUGAGGUAAGGAGCUGUGAGAAGAGGCUGCAGAUAAGAGGCAAGACCGAGUCUACUUUGCAAAUCUCUUGUUGAAUUGUU